CUUUGCCAGGGUUGGUUGUGCUCAGCUUGGGGCAUGAGCAUUGUAGCAUUGUGGAAUAUUGUCUCAGUCUGUGACUUGAAGGUUAUGAGCUCGGGGAAGAGACAGUUAAAGCUUCCUCACGCCAACGAGAUGAGUUGUACCCCACAGCGCCUAUGCCAGGUCAUCAGUCUGGCUGGAGCUGAGACACUUACUGGCCAUGCCAAGCAGCGCCAGACACCUCUGGAAGCCCCUGCCUAGGACCCCAAAUUUAGAUUCAUACUGCAGCCUGGGGAGUGUUUUGACGUCUGCCUGGCUACGGGGGAAAGCUCACUGCACACUGCCUCUGAGACAAGACAGAGCUCUCCAGGCUGAGAGUCUGAGGAAACCGGACCUGGCAAGGCUGCUCAGAUAUGCAGCUUCCUGCGGUGAAUGGAGCUGCCCAGCUCACCAAUGGUCAGCAGGCUCCAGGACGACUAUCUCUGUUAUCUAGUACCCUACCUCUGUGACAUGUGAAGAGCCAAACCUGGUUUCCAGUGACACAGCAGAGCCCAAGGGAUGCCCCAUUCUUCAAUGUCUGCACUCCCUUAACAAUUGGAUCUGUUUUCUUUUGUGGUUCUGAGUAUUUAUCAAGAUUCUAAUGGCUAAAUCUGAAAACAGCGUUGAUAACGCAAUUCAUAAAUCAGCUUUCUGAGCUAUCAUUAUGAUAUCGUUUCCUCUUUUUUGUGGCCACAAUGUGUUCUCUCUUGCCCUUACAUCGUGAGACCCAGAAGUGUCCAGACAACUAACUAGGAGGUAACUCAAGCUGCGGUAUUUGAAAGCUGUGUCUUCACUGAGGGGGAAGCGGUAGAGGUGAAGACCCUUCCAUGGUAAAGUAUGAGUGCAUCUGGACCAUGGGAAUAACAUGUCUUUGGACAAGGCAAUGGAUGGUUCUUGUUGAUACCACCUGGUUGCUUUUGGGUGAAUCUCUUGAAUAAGCACUUUGCUGACACACAGGGCCAUGGAAGGCGUAGGGUCAUGAGUACAUUGGUCCUAGGGACAGCAGUGAGCUGACACAGUGAGCAGAGGAGGCCCUCUGCUUCUACUGGAACCAUCAUUCCAUGCACAGGAAGUAUCUCUAUGUUGGACUUGGCUGUAAUGCAUCCUGUCUACAGAGAUGGAGUAUUCCUGGAGGAAGACAGCACAACUCUUCCUCAGAGUUUGGAUCAUUCUGAACUACAUGGAAUUCUGGUCAAGUCCAGGCGGAGUGGUUCAAAGCGCGGCUGUGAUUGAGUGUGGUUAAGACAAAUUAGGGUCGUAUUUCAUUCAACCAGAAGAAAUGGCAGCACUGUGGAUUUCAUGUUCUUUGGAAAUCUGUCCAGUCAACGCUGGUAUUGAAAGGAAGGGGCAGAGAAGACACUUCCAGACAAGCAAAAGCAGAUGUGGACUUGGCUUUGUGAGCCGUGGCAGGGAGGACCCAGCACAGUAGUGAUGGUAUCUGGAAACUUCCACACAAACAAAUGUGGGUGUCCUUUGUCAGAUCCCUGUGAGUGGGUACUGCCGAAGACUUCUGGUGUUUUCUGUGGAUAAAUGCUCACACAAAGCUCUUUAUUACUGUAAUACAGUCUAUGCUACAACAUGCUUUAUAACUUUCAUUUGUUUUAAUAGUCGCAUUAGUAACUUUGCUCUUGCUUGAAUCCUAAGCGGUGUUUAGAGCUGAAUAGGGAACAGAGCGGCCAUUGCCUGGUUCUCCAGUACACUGAAAGAGGCGGUAAGUGGUCUCUAAAGGUUGGAGAGGUGACAUGAGCGAUCACUCACAACCUUGAGGUUUCAGAGCCCAUCAGGGAGUUAGAGUUGCCCUCCCUCCCCCCACACCCCCAAAACCGGCUUACUCUGCUUCCAUUCACUUGAGAUGGCUCAGGCUUUCCUCCACCAGUUCUCAGCGGUCAGUUAUUAAGGGGGAAAUGGUAACAAAAGCACAUCUCAGCCGCCAGGCAUUCUGCAUUUGUGGGCGUGGAUGGAGGAAACCUCAGCGUAGCCAUUGUUAAGAAGCCCAGCAGCUGGCAGCUCGGGCCAGCUGCACCGGCUUCAUGGGGGCUGCUUCCAAGCUGCUGCUUUUCCAGCCUCAUUCAAGGCCAAGUGGGACCAUGUGCAUGCUUGUUGUCUCAUAGGUUUGCAGGGAAGUGGGAGACCAUUUAAAGGGCACACAGUCUACCAGGUUAAACUCCAAUUUGCAUGGGAAUGACUUGCCUCAAGGUCAGGUUUUCCUUGGACCAGAAGUUAGUUUCUACCUGUGUGGAUGUGCGGAUUUGCAAGCGAGGAGGAAGAAGGGAGAGAGCGUUUAUUUAUUCCCAAAUCUGUCUUUGGGAAGGACACUUUAUGGCUGGUACAGUCCCCUGGGGUUUCAGUGUGAAUUAAUAUGCUUGAGGCACACGCACACACACAAAUGCCCCAUGCUCACCUCCACCCUGACAUGAUAGAUGGCAGACUCGACCUGGGGCCCAGAAGGUCAUACUGUGUUAACGAAUGAAUCUUGACCCAUUCUUUCAGCAUAGCCUUCAGGAGCCCCAAACUGCUCCUCAUUCCUUUCCAACUCAGCCUCCCCCACCCUAAGCAGCAGCUUCCUUUGUUAAGGACCCAGAGGGCAGCUGCUGACUCUAAGGCUGGAGUGAGGAGAAGAGGAGGAAGUGUGUGCAGGCCUCACCAGGCCUAGUGGCAGGUUGCCAGCUAACAGCCCCCAACAAGCCCCUCUGUUCUCUAGGUAGAUUUUUCCCCCCAUGGGUGUCAUACAUAUAGAGAAGGGAGUGCAGUCUGGGAAUUAACUGGCCCCUCACAGAUAGUAUAUACAUUAAAAAAAAAAUUCCAGAUAGCAAAUAUUCUAUUAAAAUCCCACAUUACAUUGCUUUAAACAGGGCGCUGUUGCCCUGCAAUGUUGCAAAGGCUUCUGCAAGGAAACUGGGUUACGUUAUCUUCCAUGCUUUCCCUCCUGCAGCCCCAUCCUGUCUCCGCUCUGCUUGACUCAGCUGGAGGAGUCUGGUGAAUUAUGCAUCACUGAGGGAGAGAGAGGGGCUGAGCUUGUGGAACUGUGCCUUUAGCACAGGGCACCCUGAAGGCUCACUCCUGUCUUCCUCUACCACUCACCAAACACCAGGCUAAGAUGGUGGAUCUUACGGAAAUGGGAGGGGGAUGCCUGUAGGUCCCAGCUACAGUAGAGAUGUGGUCCAGGUCACCCUUGCUCCAUACAGCACAGGGAGAUCUGUCUGGGGCCUCUCCUUAUGGUGGAACAUUUUUUUUUUUUUUUUUUUUUUUACAUGAAAUGAAGUGGGGUGUGCAAAUUCAUUCCUGGAAGUCUCAGGAAAAGCCCUUUCUGGAUUUUCUUUCUUUCUUUUUUUGGAAAGGCGACACCUUCGCCUCCAAAGCUGUGUUGGCUCCCUGGGCCAUGGUGGUAUUCUCUCCACUUCACAAAUACACAGGGACAUGUGGAAGCGUUCUUUUUUUUUUUUUUUUUUCCAGAUCCCAAACCAUAUGCACCAAAUUUUCACAGACUUGAUCUUAAUGUAGAUAAAAGUGAGAUCCCCCGAGGGGGACCAUGCUGUAGAAAUCCCCGCAUUGUAGACUCUAAUUUAAUCAUCGAUAGCCACAGAAUUUCUUUGCAUAAAUUACAGCCUCAAUGAUAACAUCGCUUUCACAAAAGGUGGCCUCUAAUCGAUUCGACUCUCCCUGAGAAGGCUGGGCUUUCCAAGCAGAGGAGCAAUGAGCUGUUCGAGAGAGCUGUGGGCGGCACCUGGGGCUUUGGAGGCUGAGCGGCCCUUGAUGGCUAUUUGCUUAUUCAGCUGACUUUACUUUUCACCUUGACAUUUGCUAACUGGUUUUUAUUUUCUGGGAAUAAAGGGUUAUUGGCGACUGCCAAUCUGACCAUAGAAACUCUUUUCAGCAUAUGUACCUUUCCUGACUCCUCCUCCUCCUCUCUGUUCUCCCUGCCCUUGAAAAACAUGAUUAAAAAUAAAUGUCAUUUUUCAUGCUUUGAGGUCUGCUUAAA